rnacentral:other from 1 species
AGAGCCCUCCAAUGUUGGUGAUUGUCUUUCGUUUUGAUCCAACAUUUUAACAAUGGGAUGCACGAGAGUCACUGAUGGGUGUGCGAGCCGCUGGCCGUUUGGUCGAGGCGGAUUACCAAAAUCAGUACUGGCAACCCACCUGCGCGAGCGGGUUCAAAACAUCGGUAACACGGCUGCGAGGGGUUCUU